rnacentral:misc_RNA from 1 species
GAAAUGCGAUACAGCUAGGCUGAGCCUUAGGUUACAAAAUGCUGCGGCUACUGGUGGUACCACAAGGCUCAGCCUAGCUGUAUCGAGUCGCGCAGGACGUAGCCUUUACGGCCUUGUAGGACCCUGAGUGUCCCCUUUAGGAGACAAACCGUUGCGACCCCAGGUCAGGCGGGGCUACCCGCUGAGUUUAA